CUUGCAGUGGUUCUGUGAACUUUAAACGUAUUGUAAAAUAAAUUUGGUUGAACAGCUUGCAAGCCAUUCGCAUUUUAAAAUAAUGUAAAAAAAAAUAAUAUAAUAAAACCAAGACCAGUAAAGAGAUGGCGAUUAUAGUCAAGAUAUCUUAAAUGCAAGACUAGAUACUCAUUAGACGUAAUUAUCCUUUGAUAAAAUGAAAAGUCCAAUUCAUCAGAUAUUAACCUGUGAUGACAAAUGACCUGCAAAUCGUUGGACAGAAAAUCUAAAUGUAAGGUAUUAGACCGGAAAUAUAUUAGAAAAUAUCAUUUAGUAUAGGGAAGCAUUUGUUAACCGCUGGAAAAUACGACAGACAUGAAGGUAUAAUAAAGAGGAAAAAAAAAACACUUAAUAGUUAAUUCUUACUUCGAAUCGAGGGAUCCUGGUUCGAAUCUUUGUGAAGAGUGUUAUUUUUACUUUCGGGAUUUUUAGGGCACCUCUGAGUAUACCCAGCUCUAAAUGGGUACCUGACAUUAGUUGGGUAAAAAGUAAAGGCGGUUGGUCGUUGUGCUGGCUACAUGACACCCUCGUGAACCGUAGGUCAAGGAAACAGAUGAUGUUAUCACCAUUUGCCCUAUAAACCACAAGGUCUGAAAGGGAACUUGAGUUUUUUUUAUAUUGUUAUAGUAAUUGUUAUACAUAAUGUUUGUUCUUUGUUUCUAGCAUUCACUGCUGUCCUGACUCAGGCCCAUUGUCCAUCUAUCUGCCCCUUGAUCUACUACCCUGUGUGUGCCAGCAAUGAUCGGACGUUUGAUAAUGAAUGUCAAAUGCAAGCCUACUCGUGUCGACAACAUCUGAGCCUUACAAAGAAACACGAUGGUCCUUGCUAAAACACUUCAUAUGAAGGAACACUACUCACAUUUAUUCAAAUUAAUGUCGACCUAUUUUCUGAAAAA